AAAACAAAUAAAAGAAGCCUAAAUGAAAGAUAAGGAUCCAGAACCCCUUUCAAUUCUGUCUUUACAUCUACUCUGUUGAAUUCGAAACUCUAAUGUUAACCGUUUAAUUUUGACAGGGUUUAAUUUCUUCGAAAUAGGCGCUCAUUGGAAUUGCAUAAAUCGGAUUGAAGAAGGACUAUGAACAUACUGGUGUAUUGAAAGCAAAUCAAUGACUUCAAAAAACUGCUCUACAAAGGAUCCCCAAAGAGUACAGGGAAGUCUGUCAUCCCUAUUAUGAUAUUAAAAGGUAGAUGAAGAAAAGGUUGCAGUUUAACUUACAUGUACAUCUGCGAGGACCAUGUCAAAGGUCUCUCCAAAAGCGGUGGUGUAAGUUUUCCAAGAGUGAAUGACUCGGACUUGCACUCUCCAGGAUGUCUUGUAGGGCUUGACAUCAUUGAGGAUUUGUUCAUCUACUACAGGCCCAACAUGGAUAACAAAACAAUAAAACAAUAGUGAGGCCCAACAUAAUAUCAAGAUCCAAUCAGUUGGAUAGGCAGGCGGGUUAUAAGGUGGGCAAUCGGAUAAACACGCGGACCCUACUCUCAAAAUCGAAUCUGUGAUUUUUUAAGUCAAUUUUGCCUUUCUCAAUUUCAAUUAAGUGUCUCCUUUAGUAAUAAUUGAGUGGCAAUUUAAAUAAAUAGAUUAGGGAUUUUGGACAUUCUCUAAUUUGUACUUCUCUUUUAAUUAUAAGAAGAUUGGCCCUUAAGGUA